rnacentral:rRNA from 1 species
GUCAGACGAACGCUGGCGGCGUGCCUAAUACAUGCAAGUCGAGCGGACAGAUGGGAGCUUGCUCCCUGAUGUUAGCGGCGGACGGGUGAGUAACACGUGGGUAACCUGCCUGUAAGACUGGGAUAACUCCGGGAAACCGGGGCUAAUACCGGAUGCUUGUUUGAACCGCAUGGUUCAAACAUAAAAGGUGGCUUCGGCUACCACUUACAGAUGGACCCGCGGCGCAUUAGCUAGUUGGUGAGGUAAUGGCUCACCAAGGCGACGAUGCGUAGCCGACCUGAGAGGGUGAUCGGCCACACUGGGACUGAGACACGGCCCAGACUCCUACGGGAGGCAGCAGUAGGGAAUCUUCCGCAAUGGACGAAAGUCUGACGGAGCAACGCCGCGUGAGUGAUGAAGGUUUUCGGAUCGUAAAGCUCUGUUGUUAGGGAAGAACAAGUACCGUUCGAAUAGGGCGGUACCUUGACGGUACCUAACCAGAAAGCCACGGCUAACUACGUGCCAGCAGCCGCGGUAAUACGUAGGUGGCAAGCGUUGUCCGGAAUUAUUGGGCGUAAAGGGCUCGCAGGCGGUUUCUUAAGUCUGAUGUGAAAGCCCCCGGCUCAACCGGGGAGGGUCAUUGGAAACUGGGGAACUUGAGUGCAGAAGAGGAGAGUGGAAUUCCACGUGUAGCGGUGAAAUGCGUAGAGAUGUGGAGGAACACCAGUGGCGAAGGCGACUCUCUGGUCUGUAACUGACGCUGAGGAGCGAAAGCGUGGGGAGCGAACAGGAUUAGAUACCCUGGUAGUCCACGCCGUAAACGAUGAGUGCUAAGUGUUAGGGGGUUUCCGCCCC